rnacentral:lncRNA from 1 species
GGAUUCUACAGAAUGUGUGGAUAGAAAAUAUGUUUGAUCGACUUAAAUAAAAAAGUUAAGCUUUGUCAAACAUGCUAUUAGUGUUCAGUGGUCAUAUUUGUGGAUGUUGAUGACUUCCAACUAUUACUGAUUUUCAUCUUUGAAAACAAAAGAAUUAAUUAUUUUAAAGUUCACUUAUUUACUUCUAAACAAAUUUUAAGCUUAGUCAAACAUGCAAUUGGGGAUUGAUCGCUGACAUAUGAGGAAAUUCAGGUACAAGCAGCUUACAAACGAGCAUUGCUGAAGUUUCAUCCAGAUCGAGCUCCGCAAUGUGACAUUCGUCAACAGGUUGAAGCUGAGGAGAAAUUUAAGCUUAUAAAUCGUCUCAAGGAGAAACUUCUACCUUCUUGAUAACGUUUGAGCAAGUUAAUCAUUAUUGCAUCGUAAACCAUAAAUUCUUCAUAGAGUUCAAGUCUCCUCGUAAACAUGCUUUCCAUGCUUGUGAUAUUUCGAGAAAGAAGCCAUUAGUUAGUUAUCAAUUAGGGUCUUUUGUGGUUGGAAAGCAUUCUUUUGUUUGUAAAUUAACUGAUUAUUUACUCCUAUGUGAUUUCCCUAUGAUUGGCUCGACAUUUGUUGAACUUAUGUAUGUUGGUUGAAGAAAUGGAAAGUAUUCGUUACUUUCGGUUGGUACAUUUUAUUCAUA